rnacentral:rRNA from 1 species
GAUGAACGCUGACAGAAUGCUUAACACAUGCAAGUCUUUGGCGAAGCUGUGCUUGCACAGCCUAGCCAAGGCGGACGGGUGAGUAACGCGUAAGGGACUUGCCCUGCAGUCAGGGAUAACAGACGGAAACGACUGAUAAGACCUGGUAAAGUCAGGCGGACUCAUGUCCAGCCUGAUGAAAAGGAAUGCUGCAGGAGAGCCUUGCGUCCUAUUAGCUUGUUGGUGGGGUAACGGCCCACCAAGGCGAUGAUAGGUAGCCGGCCUGAGAGGGUGGACGGCCACAAGGGGACUGAGAUACGGCCCUUACUCCUACGGGAGGCAGCAGUGGGGAAUAUUGGACAAUGGGGGCAACCCUGAUCCAGCAAUUCUGUGUGCACGAUGAAGGUCUUCGGAUUGUAAAGUGCUUUCAGCAGGGAAGAAAAA